AUUUCCAGAAUUGAGUAGAGAUAGGCUUCAUCUUCAUCUCCUUCCUCCUACUUCAUGUCAAAAAUUCAAAUCCACCUACAAGCUUCGUUUCUCGUCCGAUUCGCGUGAUUCUUGCGGCAACGGAACGAGAGAGAGAUUCUCUACUGAUCUAACUCAUCAAUUUAAGCUUGUAGAUUCUUCGUUUGAUAUCGGAAUUGGGCGAUUUUUGCGGCGUUGGAACGAGGGAAGAAUUUCCUACUGAUCUAGACUAACAUCUGAAGACAUGACGAGGCGACUACCAAUGGAACCCGGAACUUACAAAACGCGACAUCGCUAAACUAUUAUCGAAGGUUAUGGAUAGCAAGCGUGUGUUUUUCAGGUGCCUAGAUUCUAGACGUGGCUAGAAGUCUGUCUUUGACCAGAGGUUCCUUUGGGCUAUGUACAGUCCCGACUUUCGUAGUUGCUGCAGUAGUGUGAUUCUGACCGGUGUCGUGGCCUAGCAUAUUAACAUGUUUUCAUGAUGUCUAUAGUUGUUGUCAUUAAAUAUACGCUUUGUUGGCUACGAUUAUUGUAUUUGUUCCACGGAGGUAGAUACCCGUGAAGUGACUUUGACACUAGUAGUUUAUGACGGGCUAGUACGUACCUGAUACGGAAACGAUAAGCCCGAGCAAGUUGUAAGACUUUACUAGUGUAUAUAAAUGUAUCUUUGUUUUGUUAAAUGCUUCCGUUUGUAAGGUCAAGGUUUAUAUGAUAAUUGCGAAAAAGUUUUAGUAAA